rnacentral:rRNA from 1 species
GGUUGCUGCGGAGGGAUCAUUACCGAGUUUACAACUCCCAAACCCCUGUGAACAUACCACUUGUUGCCUCGGCGGAUCAGCCCGCUCCCGGUAAAACGGGACGGCCCGCCAGAGGACCCCUAAAACUCUGUUUCUAUAUGUAACUUCUGAGUAAAACCAUAAAUAAAUCAAAACUUUCAACAACGGAUCUCUUGGUUCUGGCAUCGAUGAAGAACGCAGCAAAAUGCGAUAAGUAAUGUGAAUUGCAGAAUUCAGUGAAUCAUCGAAUCUUUGAACGCACAUUGCGCCCGCCAGUAUUCUGGCGGGCAUGCCUGUUCGAGCGUCAUUUCAACCCUCAAGCACAGCUUGGUGUUGGGACUCGCGUUAAUUCGCGUUCCUCAAAUUGAUUGGCGGUCACGUCGAGCUUCCAUAGCGUAGUAGUAAAACCCUCGUUACUGGUAAUCGUCGCGGCCACGCCGUUAAACCCCAACUUCUGAAUGUGACCUCGAUCGAG